rnacentral:rRNA from 1 species
GGCCUUGACAUACUAAGAACUUUCCAGAGAUGGAUUGGUGCCUUCGGGAACUUAGAUACAGGUGCUGCAUGGCUGUCGUCAGCUCGUGUCGUGAGAUGUUGGGUUAAGUCCGCAACGAGCGCAACCCUUUUCCUUAUUUGCCAGCGGGUCAUGCCGGGAACUUUAAGGAUACUGCCAGUGACAAACUGGAGGAAGGCGGGGACGACGUCAAGUCAUCAUGGCCCUUACGGCCAGGGCUACACACGUGCUACAAUGGUCGGUACAAAGGGUUGCUACCUCGCGAGAGGAUGCUAAUCUCAAAAAGCCGAUCGUAGUCCGGAUCGCAGUCCGCAACUCGACUGCGUGAAGUCGGAAUCGCUAGUAAUCGCGGAUCAGAAUGCCGCGGUGAAUACGUUCCCGGGCCUUGUACACACCGCCCGUCACACCAUGGGAGUUUGUUGCACCAGAAGUAGGUAGUCUAACCGCAAGGAGGACGCUUACCACGGUGUGGCCGAUGACUGGGGUGAAGUCGUAACAAGGUAGGCGUAGAUGA